GAUGAACGCUAGCUACAGGCUUAACACAGCAAGUCGAGGGGCAGCACUAGGUAGCAAUACUGAGGUGGCGACCGGCGCACGGGUGCGUAACGCGUAUCCAACCUUCCCGUUACUCUUGGAUAGCCUUCCGAAAGGGAGAUUAAUACAAGAUGGUAUUCAAAUUCCGCAUGUUAUUUGAAUUAAAGAUUUAUCGGUAACGGAUGGGGAUGCGUGACAUUAGAUAGUAGGCGGGGUAACGGCCCACCUAGUCUACGAUGUCUAGGGGUUCUGAGAGGAAGGUCCCCCACACUGGAACUGAGACACGGUCCAGACUCCUACGGGAGGCAGCAGUGAGGAAUAUUGGUCAAUGGUCGGAAGACUGAACCAGCCAAGUAGCGUGAAGGAUGAAGGUUCUAUGGAUUGUAAACUUCUUUUAUACGGGAAUAAAACCUCCCACGUGUGGGAGCUUGUAUGUACCGUAUGAAUAAGCAUCGGCUAACUCCGUGCCAGCCGCCGCGGUAA
rnacentral:rRNA from 1 species